rnacentral:rRNA from 1 species
GACGAACGCUGGCGGCGUGCUUAACACAUGCAAGUCGAACGGAAAGGCCCUGCUUUUGUGGGGUGCUCGAGUGGCGAACGGGUGAGUAACACGUGAGUAACCUGCCCUUGACUUUGGGAUAACUUCAGGAAACUGGGGCUAAUACCGGAUAGGAGCUCCUGCUGCAUGGUGGGGGUUGGAAAGUUUCGGCGGUUGGGGAUGGACUCGCGGCUUACCAGCUUGUUGGUGGGGUAGUGGCUUACCAAGGCGUUGACGGGUAGCCGGCCUGAGAGGGUGACCGGCCACAUUGGGACUGAGAUACGGCCCAGACUCCUACGGGAGGCAGCAGUGGGGAAUAUUGCACAAUGGGCGGAAGCCUGAUGCAGCAACGCCGCGUGCGGGAUGACGGCCUUCGGGUUGUAAACCGCUUUCGCCUGUGACGAAGCGUGAGUGACGGUAAUGGGUAAAGAACCACCGGCUAACUACGUG